GUGAGAGCCCAAGCGUCAGAAGAGAUAAUGUAGACAUGAGUAAAAAAAUUGUUGACUCAUCUCCCCUGGUUUCCAAGCCUUAGGGCUUGGGUUAUACAGCCCCUAAGGGGGUGGCCGAAGGUUGUCUCGAUGGGUGGUUUAAUAAUAAACGCAUAGAGUGCCAGGAAAUAAUUAUUAAAAGUUGGUACUGUCGUGAACUAACACAAGUGGGAGAUAGUGGGGGAAAAGUUUUUUUAAGGAAUUCGGCCAGGUAGUUUUAGCUCUCAUUAGGGUGUUUUAGAACAUAAGGCCUCGACUGUUUACCAAAAACAUAGCUCUUUGCUAAUAUGAAAGUAGAAGUGUGGAGGGUGAGACCUGCCCAAUGGUUGUAUCUAAAAGGGUUGGUCAGGCUAACUUUAGAAAGACAAUUGAAUGGCCGCGGUAACACUGACCGUGAUAAUGUAGCGUAAUCAAUAGUCAAUUAAUUGUUGGCCGGUAUGAAUGGUGUCACGAAGGUCUCACUGUCUUAAGAAAAUUCCCAGUGAAAUUGAAUUUGUAGUGAAGAUGCUACAUCCAAAUUGUUAGACGAGAAGUCCCCAUGGAACUUUACUGGAGGCCUAUGUAGCUUGAUGGUCUUACAAAUAAAUAGUUUUGAUUAUGUGGUGUUAUCCUCAGUUGAGGGUAGUAAAGCCCACUCUUUUAUUUUAAGAAAGCAAAGGGGGUAGGUCAGACAGUUUGGUUGGGGCGACCGCCUUUUAAAAAGUAACGAAGGUGGGCUUAAGAUACAUAUUAUAAUAACUGUUGUCUGACUGCAAAAGGGGGGCCUUGAGCAGACACUAGUUGUGGUGGGGUUGUAGUGACCCGUUAAUUUAAGGUGAAAUAGUUAACGAUAAACAAAUAAAAGUUACCCUGGGGAUAACAGCGCAAUAACGUUAGAGAGUUUNCAUCGACGACGGUGUUUGCGACCUCGAUGUUGAAUUGCGGCAUCCUGGGGUGCAGUCGCUCCCAAGGGUUGGCCUGUUCGUCUAUUAAAGCCGUACAUGAUUUGAGUUAAAAGCGUGGUAACACAGCUUGGUUUCUAUCUACAAUUUGAAGAAACAUCGAUAUAACUAUUUUCUAGUACGAAAGGAUUGAAAAUUAGUGGUUCUCUUAUUUUUAUAAGUUACAAUCAAUCUAU
rnacentral:rRNA from 1 species